GUUCGAGCUGUGRUUGCCGUUGUUUGAGGGAGAGUGACCUGCCAGCAGAAGUUUACACUUUCUCUGAAUAGGAACAUUGAAUUUAUGUUUUGGAAGAAAGGGAAUUUUCACACCAUAAUAUUGCCAAAUUUAACAUAUGCCUUUCGUAUGUGUAAUUUAUAUGGAGUAAAUGGAAAUGGACCAGAAGCCAGACUUGGAAGCAACACUUCUGCAGCUUUUGAGAAUAAGCAAAUGAUCACCACUUGAAGUAACAGUAACGUUACUCCUCACCGAAUGAUACUGACGUGUAUUUGCACAAGCUAACUUGCUAAAUGUAAAGUGGAGUAACUAGGUGUUAAUUAACAAACUAUCCAGCCAGUUAGCUAGCUGCCAUGGAUAACUUUUCUAGACCAAGUGGAGAAAUUCAAAGAAAAAACCCACAGCAGGAUUUCGAGCUUAUUCAACGAGUUGGGAGCGGCACAUAUGGAGACGUAUACAAGGCUCGAAACAUCCAAACGGGAGAGCUUGCUGCUGUUAAGAUUAUUAAACUGGAGCCAGGGGAUGACUUUCCAUCAUCCAGCAGGAGAUCUUCAUGGUGAAGGAAUGCAUGCACCACAACAUAGUGGCCUACUUCGGGAGCUA